UCCGGCUUACACCGGCGGUCUCCCGUGAGUGCCCGACUUUCUCGCUGGUAACACAGGACGUGGGUUGCGCUCGUUGGCGGACUUAACCGUACACCUCACGGCACGAGCUGACGACAGCCAUGCAACAAGUGUCUUCUGGCCUCCUUGUGAGAGGGGGACCCCUUUCAGGGCCUUUCCAUCGAUGUCAAGUCUGGGUAAGGUUCUUCGGUUAGUAUCGAAUUAAUCCACAUGCUCCACCGCUUGUGCGGGUCCCCGUCAAUUCAUUUGAGUUUCAACCUUGCGGCCGUACUCCCCAGGCGGGAUACUUAGUGCGUUAGCUGCGGCACAAGGGGGGUCGAUACCCCUUACGCCUAGUAUCCAUCGUUUAGGGCGUGGACUAC
rnacentral:misc_RNA from 1 species